UACGUAGGGGGCAAGCGUUGUCCGGAUUUAUUGGGCGUAAAGCGCAUGCAGGCGGUCUUGUCAGUUUCGAGUGACAGGUGGUGGCUUAACUGCCACAGGCCUCGGAAGACGGCAAGACUUGAGGACUUCAGAGGGACGCGGAAUUCCAGGUGGAGCGGUGAAAUGCGUAGAGAUCUGGAAGAACACCAAAGGCGAAGGCAGCGUCCUGGGAAGUAACUGACGCUCAUGUGCGAAAGCCAGGGGAGCGAACGGG
rnacentral:rRNA from 1 species